rnacentral:rRNA from 1 species
AGGUAAACAGGUGGGACNGCAGUACGGUCGGCCCGGGGAAUUCAACCANCCGGUUGAGCAGCCUCGCAGACCCGCACUCCUGCCCGAGCGAGCGCUGCCCGGGCCACUGCACUUUCUCCAGAUCAACGGUCAAGGCUGGUUCUCCGGCGGCCAGAAGCCGUGUUCAGGGGAGGGUGGACUCAGGCUCGUGUCCAAGGAGCUUACAGCCCCCAGCAUGUGCGGGCCCGUCAGAGGGCCGAGGAAGGGAAGUCGUUCGCCAUUUCCCGUCUCACUCAUCGGGGUUUCACUUCACCCUACUCGACCGGACUGGACUGGUUCUUCCAGUUCUCUCCCGGCCUGCGGGCGCGGUAAGCCUUGAUGCAGAGAGGGGUGCCGAUGGCCCAUGACUAAUCUGUCGGCAACCCACCUGACCCGUCUUGAA